UGCAGCCUAGCGCAGUUGGUUAGUGCACCAAAACUUCUAACAUAAAUGAAACAGACCCUCGUCUUACAUAAUACAGAAGUUCGAGGGUUCGAACCCCUCAGGUGUCG